rnacentral:rRNA from 1 species
AUUGAACGCUGGCGGCAUGCCUUACACAUGCAAGUCGAACGGCAGCACGGGGCAACCUGGUGGCGAGUGGCGAACGGGUGAGUAAUGCAUCGGAACGUACCUUUCAGUGGGGGAUAACGUAGCGAAAGUUACGCUAAUACCGCAUAUUCUGUGAGCAGGAAAGCAGGGGAUCGCAAGACCUUGCGCUGAUUGAGCGGCCGAUGUCAGAUUAGCUAGUUGGUGAGGUAAAGGCUCGCAAAGGCGACAAUCUGGAGAGGGUCGGAGGGGAUGAUCCGCCAAACUGGAACUGAGACACGGGCCAGACGCCGACGGGAGGCAGCAGUGGGGAAUUUUGGACAAUGGGGGCAACCCUGAUCCAGCCAUGCCGCGGGAGUGAAGAAGGCCUUCGGGUUGUAAAGCUCUUUCGGCCGGGAAGAAAUCGCGCGGGCUAAUACCCUGUGUGGAUGACGGUACCGGAAUAAGAAGCACCGGCUAACUACGUGCCAGCAGCCGCCGUAAAAC